AUCUUUCUGUAGUUCGUAAGCGUGAUGAUUGGGCUUUCAUGCCAUCGUGGGACCCGUGGCUCCCUCAAACCUUGUUACGACCUCAGCUUGUGAUCCGUUGGCG
ensembl:snoRNA